GACGAACGCUGGCGACGUGCUUAACACAUGCAAGUCGAACGGAAAGGCCCUGCUUUUGUGGGGUGCUCGAGUGGCGAACGGGUGAGUAACACGUGAGUAACCUGCCCUUGACUUUGGGAUAACUUCAGGAAACUGGGGCUAAUACCGGAUAGGAGCUCCUGCUGCAUGGUGGGGGUUGGAAAGUUUCGGCGGUUGGGGAUGGACUCGCGGCUUAUCAGCUUGUUGGUGGGGUAGUGGCUUACCAAGGCUUUGACGGGUAGCCGGCCUGAGAGGGUGACCGGCCACAUUGGGAAUGAGAUACGGCCCAGACUCCUACGGGAGGCAGCAGUGGGGAAUAUUGCACAAUGGGCGGAAGCCUGAUGCAGCAACGCCGCGUGCGGGAUGACGGCCUUCGGGUUGUAAACCGCUUUCGCCUGUGACGAAGCGUGAGUGACGGUAAUGGGUAAAGAAGCACCGGCUAACUACGUG
rnacentral:rRNA from 1 species